GGCAAGGCUUGUGUUGACAAAAUAGGCUAUGAUCAGAGAAAAUGAAGGGAUUGCCGAAGUGAAAUAAUCAGAAAAUAAACAAGAGAGAAUGGAGAAAUUAGUGUUUGAUUUAGGAAAGCAAAAGGAGAGUUGAAGAAGAGGAGAUGUUUAUGAAUUUUCACGCGCUUUUUCUCUGGCAGAGUGGAGAUGGAAGAUGAAGAGAAGGACUCGAAAAGUUAUAGAUCAAAAAGGCC
rnacentral:misc_RNA from 1 species